rnacentral:rRNA from 1 species
CCUACGGGAGGCAGCAGUAGGGAAUAUUGGUUAAUCUGGGAAACCGGGAACCAGCAACGCCGCGUGCACGAUGAAGGCCUUCGGGUUGUAAAGUGCUUUUUGAAAGGAUGAGGAAGGACAGUACUUUCAGAAUAAGCUUCGGCUAACUACGUGCCAGCAGCCGCGGUAAAACGUAGGAAGCGAGCGUUAUCCGGAUUUACUGGGCGUAAAGCGUGUGUAGGCGGUUUGACAAGUUGGAUGUGAAAGCUCCUGGCUUAACUGGGAGAGGUCGUUCAAAACUGUCAGACUUGAGAGUGGUAGAGGGAGGUGGAAUUCCGGGUGUAGUGGUGAAAUGCGUAGAUAUCCGGAGGAACACCAGUGGCGAAAGCGGCCUCCUGGCCCAUUUCUGACGCUCAGACACGAAAGCUAAGGUAGCAAACGGGAUUAGAGACCCCGGUAGUCUUAGCUGUAAACGAUGUGAACUUAGUGUCGGUGGGUUUAAAUCCAUCGGUACUGAAGCAAACGCGAUAAGUUCACCGCCUGGGGACUACGGCCGCAAGGUUAAAACUCAAAGGAAUUGACGG